rnacentral:rRNA from 1 species
UACAGAGGGUGCGAGCGUUGUCCGGAAUCACUGGGCGUAAAGGGCGCGUAGGUGGCCCCUCAAGCGUGCGGUGAAAGUCAGGGGCUCAACCCCUGAUCGGCCGUGCGAACUGGGGAGCUUGAGCACUGUAGAGGCAGGCGGAAUUCCGGGUGUAGCGGUGGGAAUGCGUAGAGAAUCCGGAAGAACACCGGUGGCGAAGGCGGCCGUGCUGGGCAAGCUUUUG